rnacentral:lncRNA from 1 species
GUCGUAUAACCCUGAUUGAACCCAUACGCAAAUAAGUCGCACAUGAAAUCACUCCUUUCCUUCCACACUUCAUUCACACACUUCUUACAAGGAUAUCUGAUCUCAUCGCCACUGACUUGCUCAAACGCGAAAUUGAGAAACUGUUCAACCCCACUACGGUACUCAGAGUUAAGCUCACUCUUAUCAGUGGCUACCCUACGUUCCAUCCAACUUCGAUCAACAGACAUCUUGGACAACUGUCUGCUAUAUAUAUAGAAAGUUAGACAAACACAAUCAAGUCUCC